UCAAAACAACUUGAUGAGCAUCCUUACAUUG
rnacentral:piRNA from 1 species